rnacentral:rRNA from 1 species
GAAUCUUUUUUGAUUUCUUAGUGGCAAACGGGUGAGUAACACGUAGCUAACUGCCUCAAAGUGGAGGAUAGCCAUGGGAAGCCAUGGGUAAUACUCCAUAAUACUUACGAGUUAAAGUUUAAUACGCUUGAGAGGUGGCUGCGGCCCAUCAGGUAGUUGGUAGGGUAAUGGCCUACCAAGCCUAUGACGGGUAUCCGGCCUGAGAGGGUGAUCGGACACAUUGGAACUGAGACACGGUCCAG